GUCGUAACAGGUAGCCGUAGAGUUUGAUCCUGGCUCGAUUGAACGCUGGCGGCAUGCCUUACACAUGCAAGUCGAACGGCAGCACGGGAGCAAUCCUGGUGGCGAGUGGCGAACGGGUGAGUAAUACAUCGGAACGUGCCCAAUCGUGGGGGAUAACGCAGCGAAAGCUGUGCUAAUACCGCAUAAGAUCUACGGAUGAAAGCAGGGGAUCGCAAGACCUUGCGCGAAUGGAGCGGCCGAUGGCAGAUUAGGUAGUUGGUGAGGUAAAGGCUCACCAAGCCUUCGAUCUGUAGCUGGUCUGAGAGGACGACCAGCCACACUGGGACUGAGACACGGCCCAGACUCCUACGGGAGGCAGCAGUGGGGAAUUUUGGACAAUGGGCGAAAGCCUGAUCCAGCCAUGCCGCGUGCAGGAUGAAGGCCUUCGGGUUGUAAACUGCUUUUGUACGGAACGAAAAGUCUCUUUCUAAUAAAGGGG
rnacentral:rRNA from 1 species